rnacentral:rRNA from 1 species
GGGCCCGCACAAGCGGUGGAGUAUGUGGUUUAAUUCGAUGCAACGCGAAGAACCUUACCAGGGUUUGACAUCCUGCGAAUCUCUUGGAAACGAGAGAGUGCCUUCGGGAACGCAGUGACAGGUGGUGCAUGGCUGUCGUCAGCUCGUGUCGUGAGAUGUUGGGUUAAGUCCCGCAACGAGCGCAACCCACGUCGUUAGUUGCCAGCAUUUAGUUGGGCACUCUAGCGAGACCGCCGGUGAUAAACCGGAGGAAGGUGUGGAUGACGUCAAGUCAUUAUGCCCCUUACAUCCUGGGCUACACACGUACUACAAUGGUCGGUACAGAGGGAAGCUACCCCGUAAGGGGAUGCGGA